rnacentral:rRNA from 1 species
AUAUGCCUACAACUUAGCGUUAAUGCAAUAGAUCCCAUUAGAACUUUGUCGUUAAGCCUGCUCAUGCUAGAGUAGUAUUGGGAUAGGUCACCACUCGAGAAGUCCUAGUAUUUUACAUGCC